ensembl:snRNA U6 U6 spliceosomal RNA
GUGCUUACUUUGGCAGCACAUAUGCUACAGUUGGAAUAAUAGAGAAUAUUAGCACAGUUGCUGUAUAAGAAUGACAUGAAAAUUCAUGAAAUAAUCCAUAUUUUA